ACCGGCAGCUCAAGUGGUGGCCAUUUUUAUUGGGCCUAAAGCGUUCGUAGCCGGUUUGAUAAGUCUCUGGUGAAAUCCCGCAGCUUAACUGUGGGACUUGCUGGAGAUACUAUUAGACUUGAGGUCGGGAGAGGUUAGGGGUACUCCCAGAGGAGGCCUGAAAUCCUAUAACCCGGGGAGGACCACCUGUGGCGAAGGCGCCUAACUGGAUCAUAUCCGCCGGUGGGCAGGCAAAGCCACUGUCGCAAACAG
rnacentral:rRNA from 1 species